rnacentral:piRNA from 1 species
AAAGGUCCAAAUUUCUGAUACAGGA